CGGCCUCAACCUGGGAACUGCAUCCAAAACUACUGAGCUAGAAUACGGUUGAGGGUGGUGGAAUUUCCUGUGUAGCGGUGAAAUGCAUAUAUAUAGGAAGCGCUUAACACGCCUCUCCGGCGCUGUGCGAUCCGGCGUGGGGGCCGGUUGGUACUGACACUGACGGUGCAGAAAGUGUGCGGCGGAGCAAAAAGGAUUAUAUACCCUGGUAGUCCUGCGCCAACGUAAACGUUUGUCGAGUAGCCUGGAUUGGUGGUUUGGUUGAUAUCUUUUUUGAUAGCCGCAGCUAAGGGCGAACGAUAAGUCUACCGCCUGUGGAUGAUAGCCAGGACGGUACAUGAUGAAUACUCAAGUCGAAUAGCUCGUCGGGGCCCGUUCAUGCGGUGCCGGGCAUGUGAGUUUAAUUCGCAGGUGGCGCGGUAGCCACCUAUAGCCAAUGGCCUUGAGAUCGCGGUCCCGAACUAUUCCAGAGGUGGAUUGCUGUCCAGCCGUUCAAGGGAACUCAGUCACAGGUGCUGGAUGGCUGUCGUCAGCUCAGUGUCUGUGAGGAUGUUGGCCGUUACCCGCCAGCGUCCGGUCAAGGAGCAGCAAUCCUUGAUCGCUUCGUUACCAGCACCUCGGGUGCGGUGGUCAAGGGCGGCUUGCUGGUGACAAACCGGAGGAUCGGUGGCGGAUGACCGUCAAGAAGAUCGCCAUCGUGGCCGGCUUCCGUCGGCGGCGGCUACGCACGAUGUUACAAUGGUCGGUACAAAGGAAGUUGCCAUGCCGCGAGCGUGAGAGCUACCUACCACCAUCGAAACCCGCUCGUAGUCCGGAUCGCAGUCUGCAACUCGACAUCAGCGUGAAGGUCGGAAUCGGCUAUGUAUUCGUGAAGUCAGCAUGCUCGACGGUGCAUACGUUGCCGGGCAGAUCCUGUACAUGGAGCGCGAUCCUGGCAGCCAUGGAGUGCCGG
rnacentral:rRNA from 1 species